rnacentral:rRNA from 1 species
CCUACGGGGAGCUGCAGUGAGGAAUAUUGGUCAAUGGGCGCGAGCCUGAACCAGCCAAGUAGCGUGAAGGAUGACUGCCCUACGGGUUGUAAACUUCUUUUAUAAAGGAAUAAAGUGAGGCACGUGUGCCUUUGUGGAUGUAAUUUAUGAAUAAGGAUCGGCUUACUCCGUUCCAGCAGCCGAGGUAAUACAGAGGAUCCGAGUGUUAUCCGGGUUUAUUGGGUUUAAAGGGAGCGUAGAUGGGUUGGUAAGUCAGUGGUGAAAGUGUGCGGGUUCACCGUACAAUUGCAAUGGAUACUGGCAGUCUUGAGUACACGUGAAGUAGGCGGAAUGCGUGGUGUAGCGGUGAAAUGCUUAGAUAUCACGCAGAACUCCGAUUGCGAAGGCAGCUUACCAGCCUGCCACUGACAUUGAUGCUCGAAAGUGUGGGUAUCAAACAGGAUUAGAUACCCUUGUAGUC